CUAGAAAUGUCACCAAAUUUGGUGGCGAUACACAGCAAAGACUGCAGGUUUGCAUGUCUAACGCAGCUGCCUCCUGCAGGCACUGUGAACUUCCUGGAACUUUUUGCAUGCAUUUUUCCCCCCAUAUUUUUCCUUCAAUAUCCUUUAUGGAAACGAAGCCUGAAGGAAGUAAAUUUCAGAGAUUGUGUGAAGGUCGCUGGAGCCAGGAGGAAAUUAAGCCUGUUCUGAAGUCCCAGCCACAAGAUGGUGAGGGAUUGUGUUUCUAUCCUCCAGAUAACCCAGAGGGGACAGUACAAAUCACAGAUCCAACUGAGAAUAACACUUUGUGGUGCAACUUGGAGGAACCGGCAGGAAAAAGAUCCUGGUUGCAUACUGGGCGAGAGGAAGCAACACCAAACAUCCACUGACGUGAUUUGUUUGGCAAGGUGCUAUCCUACAUACUGAGAGUAGAAGCCCGCCUUCAACCGUCUUACAGUCUACUUGGAGCAGCGAAUGCGCACAUGCACAUGCACACACACAUACCUUGCAACGUAAUUGUGUGUAAUUAAUAACGCACCAGCAAUGUCUCUAGAAAAUGUAUAGAUAUAACAAGUAAUUUAAUUUAGACACAGAUUUAUAUUGUCCAAGCACCAUUCUCAUGGAGAAUUCCUUUUCUGGUUUUCCUAUUCUAUGGACUAAACUUUUGUCUAAAAUUGUAGCAACUGAGGCCCAUCUAUUUCAGGGAUGGAUCUAUAAGUUAACAUAAAGAUUAACAAAUAAAUUAAUAAACAAAUUAAUUUAAAAAGAUUAAUUAUGACUCUCAUAGUGUGAAAUCAAAUUUAUACAGUUUACCAAACAACUCACUUAGGCAACAAAUAUGUAUAGGCAGUGUGGUCUUGAUGGUAACAAACAAUACAUCCUCACCCCAACUUGGUGACGUCCAUAGUUCAUGGUGGUCAUUUUCUCUGUUCUGAUAUUGGUAGAAGCAUUUUCUUUUAGAUCUUUGAUUCUGACUAUUAUUCUACAUUAUUUCAUCUCCUGUGCUCUGUGUAUCACACACAGCGUGGUGGGUAAGACCAUAGACAUGGGAGUUAGAUCAGCUGGGUUUGAAUACGGCUGUCCUCACUGUGUAGUUGUGAGACUGUUGCUAAACCUAUAAGCUUUCGUUUACACACAUUCCACGUAGUUAACAUUACAAUAAAGUUGCUUAUUAUACUGUAGUGGGAUGAAUGGUGGUCUCCAAAAAAAAAUACUUCCACAUCCUAAUCUCUGGAACCUAUGAAUAUUACUUUAUUUGGAAAAAAGGAUCCUUGCAGAUGUAAUUAAACUAAGGAUCUUGAGAUGGAUCAUCUUGGGUUGGACCCUCAAUCCAAUGGUGUGCUUAUAAAACAUGGAAGAAAGAUCCAAACAGUAGAGGAGAAAGUGAUGCGAAGAAAGAGGCAGAGGUAGCAGUAAGGUGGCCACAACCCAUGGCAGCCAUGGAAAGUGCCAGCCAGCAGGAGCUGAAAGAGGCAGGGAGGAUCUCCCUGGAGUCUCCCGUCCUGCUGGGAGU